AAUGAACGUUGGCGGCAUGGAUUAGGCAUGCAAGUCGGGGGAAUCCCAGCAAUGGGGGAACCGGCGUAAGGGGCAGUAAGGCAUGGGUACCUACCUUGGGGUUCGGGAUAGCCAUCAGAGAUGGUGGGUAAUACCGGAUGACGUCGUGUGACCAAAGAUUUAUCGCCCUUAGAGGGGCCCAUGUGAUAUUAGCUAGUUGGUGGGGUAACGGCCCACCAAGGCGAAGAUGUCUAGCGGGUGUGAGAGCACGACCCGCGCCACUCGCACUGAGACACUGGCGAGACAUCUACGGGGGGCUGCAGGCGAGGAUCUUCGGCAAUGAGCGCAAGCUUGGCCGAGCGAUGCCGCGUGAGCGAUGAAGGCCGUCGGGUUGUAAAGCUCUUUAGUGGGGGAGAAAAGCCGCAAGGUGUGAUCUAUCCCAAAAAUAAGCACGGGCUAAGUUCGUGCCAGCCGCCGCCGUAA
rnacentral:rRNA from 1 species